GCCCUGUGGUGGCUGCAGUGCCAUGGAGAGGCUGCCAUCCUCUGAGGGCCUAGGCCCUGGGCUGACCUUUGGGAAGCUAGGCAAAAUGGUGGUGGAGCUGCUGCCCCCUGACCUGAGUCCACACCUCACCUUCUGCCAUCUCCAAAACAAGACACUGGUGUGUCCAUCUCUCAUUAGCUUAUUGUGAUCCCGCGUUAAGCAAGGGACAUGCAUUCCAAGACCCCCAGUGGAUGCCUGAAACCUCAUAUAAUAUUGAGCCCUGUCUCAAUGGGCUCUGAAAUGUCCUUCCAUAGAGUCUACAAAAAGAGUGUUUCCAACUUGCUGAAUCAAAAUAAAGAUUUCACCUGGUGAGAUGAAUACACAGAUUGCAAAG
rnacentral:lncRNA from 1 species